GUGGGUGAGACGGGGUUCAGUGGAGUGGGGGAGACAGGGUUCAGUUGAGUGGGGGAGACAGGGUUCAGUGGAGUGGGGGAGACAGGGUUCAGUGGGUGUGGGGGAGACAGGGUUCAGUUGAGUGGGGGAGACAGGGUUCAGUGGAGUGGGGGAGACAGGGUUCAGUUGAGUGGGGGAGACAGGGUUCAGUGGAGUGGGGGAGACAGGGUUCAGUGGAGUAGGGGAGACAGGGUUCAGUGGAGUGGGGGAGACAGGGUUCAGUGGAGUUGGGGAGACAGGGUUCAGUGGAGUGGGGGAGACAGGGUUCAGUGGAGUGGGGAAGACGGGGUUCAGUGGAGUGGGGGAGACAGGGUUCAGUGGAGUGGGGAGACAGGGUUCAGUGGAGUGGGUGAGACGGGGUUCAGUGGAGUGGGGGAGACAGGGUUCAGUGGAGUGGGGGAGACAGGGUUCAGUGGAGUGGGGGAGACAGGGUUCAGUGGUUUGGGGGAGACAGGGUUCAGUGGAGUGGGGAAGACGGGGUUCAGUGGAGUGGGGGAGACAGGGUUCAGUGGAGUGGGGA
ensembl:lncRNA